GUCUUCGUGGUGCAAUGGUCAGAACGCUCGAAGCAUAUUCAAGAGGUCCGUGGUUCGAUUCCCGACGAAGGCG
rnacentral:tRNA from 1 species